GGCGACGUUCGACGCAGAAAAGCGAGCACGCGCAGGCCAGACGGUCGGUCGGUCGUAUCAGCUGCUGACUGUGGCUCCCGGAGGCCGACCACGGACCAAUCCCCCGUAUUAGCCGUACGCCCCGGCCCGUAGACCCGGUAUUGCGAACCGAAGCGAGUCCGAGGCCCUUCCAGCAGCCGGUCUUUCGUGCUCUGGAGUAGUAAAACAUAUUUAACCACAUCGGAGCUAAAGUGAACUGGUCAUAUCGGGAAACACUGUGCAAAACUUACAUUCGACGGACGGAACGGACUGACUCUGGAAAUCACAUCACAAUAAGUCAUGCCACGGGGAAAACGCCGAGCUGCAGAUACUAUUAGCGACAACAUGGAUCAUGGUCAACCGAAGAGGGCCCGAACCAGCUACACCAGCAUACCCACACAACAGAGCAGCAGGUGAGUGGAGGAAAAUAGG
rnacentral:sRNA from 1 species